rnacentral:rRNA from 1 species
GGAGGGUGCAAGCGUUAUCCGGAUUCACUGGGUUUAAAGGGUGCGUAGGUGGGCUAGUAAGUCCGUGGUGAAAUCUCCGGGCUUAACCCGGAAACUGCCAUUGAUACUAUUAGUCUUGAAUGUUGUGGAGGUAAGCGGAAUAUGUCAUGUAGCGGUGAAAUGCUUAGAUAUGACAUAGAACACCGAUAGCGUAGGCAGCUUACUACACAAAUAUUGACACUGAGGCACGAAAGCGUGGGGAUCAAACAGGAUUAGAUACCCUGGUAGUCCACGCCCUAAACGAUGGAUACUCGACAUCAGCGAUACACUGUUGGUGUCUGAGMGAAAGCAUUAAGUAUCCCACCUGGGAAGUACGACCGCAA